AUGGCGGAGAUUGUGAUUCUUCUAGCCAUUAAAAAGAUUGGAAUUGCCUUGGCAAAAGGAGCGGCAGACCAAGCCAGUGUGCAGUUUGCGAAGUACGGGGCACAACUAGUAGAGCUUAAGGGCAGCAUGCGUUGUGUUGCAAGGGAGCUUCGCGUAAUGCAUGAUGUUCUAUGUGAAAUGGAUAUUCGAAGCCGCAACAAUCAAGUAUACGAGGGCUGGAUGGAGGAGGUACGGAAAGUAGCACAUGUGAUGGAGGACACGGUGGAUGAGUACUUGUAUCUAGUUGGUGAGGAACGUGAUAUUGAUUGUUGUUUUUUCCUGAAGAAAGGAUUCAAAAAGCCAAGAUCUCUGCUUUCUUUGAACCAGAUAGCUGUCAAGGUGAAGGAAGUAGAGAAAGAACUUUCACACUUGUCAGAGACAAAAAACCGCUGGGUUCCCAUGACAGACAACAGGGAUAUUGGCAACUCAAAUUACAUUGUCAAGAGAUCCCAAGAUCUAGCAAACAUUUCACGCUCCCUUGACGAAGAAGAUCUAGUGGGGGUGGAUAAAAACAGACAAAAACUGGAGCAAUGGUUGGCAGGUGAUGAUCUGGACUGCUCUGUGAUAGCUCUGCUCGGAAUGGGAGGUCUUGGUAAAACUGCUUUAGCUGCAAAUGUGUACAAGAAGGAGAGGGAGAAAUUCCAGUGCCACGCCUGGGUCUCCGUCUCUCAAACUUAUUCUAGAGAAGAUGUCUUGAGGAAUGUAAGCAAGGAACUUUUUAAAGAUAAUGUCAGUGUUCUAUCUAAAACUGCAACUAUGGACAUCACAUGCCUUGAAGAGACGGUGAAGAGUUUUCUUGAGCAACACAAGUAUUUGAUUAUAUUGGAUGAUGUUUGGACUCCAGAAACAUUUGAUGAUUUGUCUAGGACGCUUAUCAAUAAUGAUAAGGGCAGUAGACUGAUAAUCACAACAAGGGAAGGUGAUGUUGCCGCACUUGCCUCUCAAGGACAUAUCUUAAGACUGGAAGCUUUACCAGAAGACAAGGCAUGGGAUCUUUUUUGUAAGAAAGCCUUUCCCAGAGAUGCAAAUCAUGAAUGUCCUACAGAAUUGAAGCCAUUGUCCGAGGAAAUAGCUAGCAAGUGCAAAGGCUUGCCUCUUGCUAUAGUGUCAGUUGGCAGCCUCUUGCGUGUGCGUGAGAAAACUGUGGAAGAAUGGAGAAGAAUAAAUGACCAAUUGAGCUGGGAGAUAAUUAAUAAUUCGAGGUUCGACCACAUAAGGAAUGUUUUGUAUUUGAGCUUCAUAUACCUUCCAACACACUUGAAAAGUUGUUUCUUGUACUGCAGUCUAUUUCCAGAAGACUAUCUUUUACAUAGGAAACAACUUGUACGGUUAUGGACAGCAGAGGGGUUCAUCGAGGAGAGGGGUGAAAGCACAUUGGAAGAAGUGGCAGAAGGCUAUCUAAAGGAAUUGAUUGACAGAAACAUGCUACAACUUAUUGUGAGGAACCACUUUGGUAGGAUGAAGAAAUUCAGAAUGCACGAUCUCUUACGUGAACUGGCAGUUGAUUUGUGCAAGAAGAACUGUUUUGGUGUUACAUAUGACGAUAAAUGUGGGGGGUCUCUUGUGAUGGAUGGACGACGAUUGGUACUCCACAAACAUCAGCAAAUUUCUGGUAUACACCAACUUCGUACAGUCAUUACACUGGGCAAUAGCAUUCCAUCAACCACUUUACCUUUGCUAUGUAAGGAGUCAAAAUAUUUGACAGUGCUAGAAAUAAGUGGUCUACCUAUCGAGGAGAUUCCAGAAGCUAUUGGCGAUCUUUUUAAUCUCCGCCAUUUGGGUUUGCGUGUUCAAAGGUGA
rnacentral:rRNA from 1 species